CCUACGGGAGACUGCAGUGAGGAAUAUUGGUCAAUGGUCGGGAGACUGAACCAGCCAAGCCGCGUGAGGGAGGAAGGUACAGAGUAUCGUACACCUCUUUUGUCAGGGAACAAAGCCUGGGACGCGUCCCCGGCUGCGUGUACCUGACGAAAAAGCAUCGGCUAACUCCGUGCCAGCAGCCGCGGUAAUACGGAGGAUGCGAGCGUUAUCCGGAUUUAUUGGGUUUAAAGGGUGCGCAGGCGGUCUGUUAAGUCAGCGGUCAAAGCCCGGGGCUCAACCCCGGCCCGCCGUUGAAACUGGCAGUCUCGAGUUGGAGAGAAGUAGGCGGAAUGCGCGGUGUAGCGGUGAAAUGCAUAGAUAUCGCGCAGAACUCCGAUUGCGAAGGCAGCAUGCCGGCUCCACACUGACGCUGAGGCACGAAAGCGUGGGUAUCGAACAGGAUUAGAUACCCCAGUAGUC
rnacentral:rRNA from 1 species